rnacentral:rRNA from 1 species
GAUGAACGCUGGCGGCGUGCCUAAUACAUGCAAGUCGAGCGAACGGACGAGAAGCUUGCUUCUCUGAUGUUAGCGGCGGACGGGUGAGUAACACGUGGAUAACCUACCUAUAAGACUGGGAUAACUUCGGGAAACCGGAGCUAAUACCGGAUAAUAUUUUGAACCGCAUGGUUCAAAAGUGAAAGACGGUCUUGCUGUCACUUAUAGAUGGAUCCGCGCUGCAUUAGCUAGUUGGUAAGGUAACGGCUUACCAAGGCAACGAUGCAUAGCCGACCUGAGAGGGUGAUCGGCCACACUGGAACUGAGACACGGUCCAGACUCCUACGGGAGGCAGCAGUAGGGAAUCUUCCGCAAUGGGCGAAAGCCUGACGGAGCAACGCCGAGUGAGUGAUGAAGGUCUUCGGAUCGUAAAACUCUGUUAUUAGGGAAGAACAUAUGUGUAAGUAACUGUGCACAUCUUGACGGUACCUAAUCAGAAAGCCACGGCUAACUACGUG